GCCGGUUGUACCCGAAGUCGCUAAGCCAACUGCAAAGAGGCAGGCGCCGAAGGUAUGGCUGGUGAUUGGGGUGAAGUCGUAACAAGGUARCCGUAGGUGAACCUGCAGAAGGAUCA
rnacentral:rRNA from 1 species